rnacentral:lncRNA from 7 species
UUGUGGUUGCCACGAUCAUGAAGACUUGCUGACGAGGGAAGGGAGCAGGAAGAGGAGUGGAUUUGAGCUAUACGAAGAUUCUGAGCAUCUGCAGCAGUGAAAUGAAGAUUCACAAUUCCAGCCAAGCAAGAAUCUCCUGGGAGCAGCAAGAGCCUCUGAAGAAGCAAUAUUUGGAUGGGAAACUUAUGUCCUCCAAGCUGGCGAGUUGCAACACUGACACAGAUUUUUCUUGUCGCUGCAAAACUCUUCCUGUAGAAGGCACAGAAAACUCAGGAUUUGGAGCAUGGAAAGUACAAAUCCAGGGCAGCCAGAGGGGCUCCCACAGGGUCCCCAAAGGUUCCCCUGGGUAUCCCUUUGGAUGUCUUUGAGAAAACCUUUCCCUCUGCUCCCGAAGAAGAGGCUCCCAAAAGCAGCAAGAUGGGGGAGAGAUUCUUCUGGCACACCAAUAGGUCUAAAUUCAAGGAUUCAGAUUUUGCCCUUGCUUUUGCCACCACAAAUGAGAGCUGGAUCCCAACAAGUCUUAACUCCACAGAGCCGGCACUCAUUUCUGUAUGCCUGAGUCCUUCCUCCACCCUUGAAAGCCUUCUGUGAUCAGUGUAACUCUGCCCACCUGAGCAUUUCCCAGCUAUUUACAUAGGAAGAAAUGAGUGUUGCUUUUACUCUCUCUGACUCCCCAAGCUACAGGAAGCAAGGAACCAAGACAGAGGGAGUGGGGAGAGAUGUUCCUACUUCCCCUUGUGACUCUGCAGGCUGUCAGCAGCCUUGGGAGGACACUAACAGGAGGAGGAAGGCAGAUCCUGGUGGGUCCCCACAGGGAGUGAGCCUGGGUAGUGCAGGGAUUAUCUGCAGCAGCUUUUGUUUGGGUCUGAAAGGCAGCACUGAAGGCACUGCAGAGUGUUAUGGCAAUGUGAGGACACUGAAGCACUUCUCAAAGCACCCCUGUGGACCUAUUAAUUGCAAUAUUGGAUCUUUCGUCUUUUUCAGCAGGUUCCCAGCAAUAGGCAUGCAGCCAGCUUGGCUGGGGUUUUGUUUAUUUUCCAGUUAAUGUAGAAGCAGAAUCAAUUCCAGCUAACAAAGCUAGGAAUAUCAGGAAAAAAAAAAAAGUUCAAUUCCCAUGGAUCAUUUGUGGCAUACGCCUGGAAGAUAUUUACUGGUAGCAGGGCAAUUAGGGCAGUGAUAUGGCAGGGGACCAGGAACACCUCCCAGGAGUGGGUGUGAAUCAUAGGAAGCCCGUCAUCAGCAAAGGAGGAGAAGUACCUCUGCUGUGUUGAUUACCACUAGCUAGAUGGGGAAAUUGUGCUUGGAAGCAUGGCAGCACACACAAAACCUGGCUGCAAAUGCUCCCUGCGGCAGUUCUCCCCCCAGGGUGGUAAGAAGCAGCUGAGUGGUGCUCGUCUGACAUCAUCUUGCAAUAAGUGUUACAUGUGACUGCCCAAACUGAGUGACCAGCACUUGUUACCAACCCCAUUAAGCUUUAAGUGGCACUUUUGCCUUGCUCCUUGCUCACUCCUGCUGGGCUUGGGUUAUUUAGCACAUGGGCUCUGGCCAUGUGGUCCAACUGGAGCAUAAACUGCCAGAAACAUAAACACUUGUUCACUUUGCCACUGCCAGAUUUCCCUCACCUUCGUCAGGACAUUGAUGCCAAGAGCAUUAUGUGAAUUCUUGUCAGGAGCAUCUGUGAGUUAUGGAUAUCAAUAUCCAGUGACUUUCUAUAGGUCACAUUUUUUGGCCCCACCAACACACAGCACCACUCUGGGGCUGCCCAGCGCACCUGCUAUGUCCCUGGGGGAUAUUGAACAGACAUAACAUUCAGAGCAUUUGCCUUUUUCAGCAACUUCAGUGGGGUUUCUCUAUGU